AUUAGAAUAUUAUAAAAAAUUAUAUUGAAGUGAUAAUUCAAAGAAAAUCUAAUU
rnacentral:tRNA from 3 species